CAAUCCCAUCAGCAACCAGACUCAACAUCUGGACAUCACUCAGCACUGUCACACAUGUUCAGUUCCUCCAGUCUCUGUAUCUCUGAUAGUGCUGAUCUCUGCUGCUGCUGGAUCUCUGCUGAUUAUAGCUGCAGUCGGGAUCUUCUGCAUCUGCAGGAAAUGUCAGACAAAAAGGAAAGACAGGACUCAUUCAGGACUGUUUAAAUCAUCAUCGAAAAAAGGUAAGAAGUUACAAGUAGUUGUUGCAGUCAGUUAGUCUGUUACUCGUUUGUACAGUAUAGUUCUUAUUAAUUGAUGCUACUUUCAAAUUUUGAAUUAUAUUUCAAAGCUUUUUUUUAUUUUUAUUUUUUUUUGAGUAGACAUUUUUAUGAAAUUAUUUUACAGAAGCUUUAGUAAGGUCUUGUAUAGCCUGCAUAUUCACUCGGAGUGAAUCUGAAGCAAAAUUCUAUUAUAACUUUUUAAAUGGUGUUAAACGGUUGCUCUUGAUUUAAUGUAUAUUUUUCCUUGCAGAAAUCAAAGGAUGAACAUGUGUAUGAAAAUAUCUCCCCAAAGCGAUGAUCAAAUACAGAAUCUACUGGAAUAAAAUAAAUGUCCUGACUCCACCUGUUUA